rnacentral:rRNA from 1 species
AUUGAACGCUGGCGGCAUGCCUUACACAUGCAAGUCGAACGGCAGCACGGGUGCUUGCACCUGGUGGCGAGUGGCGAACGGGUGAGUAAUAUAUCGGAACGUACCUUAUUGUGGGGGAUAACGCAGCGAAAGCUGUGCUAAUACCGCAUAAUCCCUAAGGGGGAAAGCGGGGGACCGUAAGGCCUCGCGCAAUUAGAGCGGCCGAUACCUGAUUAGCUAGUUAGUGAGGUAAAGGCUUACCAAGGCAACAAUCAGUAGCUGGUCUGAGAGGACGAUCAGCCACACUGGGACUGAGACACGGCCCAGACUCCUACGGGAGGCAGCAGUGGGGAAUUUUGGACAAUGGGGGCAACCCUGAUCCAGCAAUGCCGCGUGAGUGAAGAAGGCCUUCGGGUUGUAAAGCUCUUUUGUCAGGGAAGAAACAGCAGCUCUAACACAGUUUGCGAAUGACGGUACCUGAAGAAUAAGCACCGGCUAACUACGUGCCAGCAGCCGCCGUAA